AGAUGUAAUAAGAACAUAAGUGUCUUAAGGAUUACUAGGGUGAGAACAGGAGGACGUGAUUAACCUAAACGAAAAAGAGCACAACAAGAUACCUAUGAUUGGCUCGUGAUCCACGCGAAAACGCAGAGUGGGCGCCACUGGAAAGUGAAUCAUCUCAGUACCACGGCGCCCCUAACGAACAUUAGUUCGUGAGUAAAAGAAAAUACAAACGUACUAACCGCUAGUAGCGGCAAGCGAACGCGGUAGAUACCCCCGUUAGUAGCCAAUUUCUGCGUUCCAUUUUUCAUUAUCGUAAUUGAGGCGCAGUUUUUCUCGGUAUUUAUAUAAUUAUAUUAGUAUAAUCUGAGAUACUACUAUGAGUAAAGCAAACGAAAAAUGGGUGACCACACAUCUAAGGGGAAUAUCAUCAAGUGACUCACACCUAAAGCUCGAGAGUACUGUGAAGGAAAGUUGAAAGAGAAUUGUUGAAAUAGACCAAGAAAUAAGACACUUAGAGGCAGUUGUAACACAACGUACCUUUUGUAUAAUGGGUCCACAAGUAGAAAAUUUGGCAAGCUAAAAGAGGAUAGAGAGGGAGUAAAUCUCUUCGAGAUUAUAAUACUCUAGGAUAUUGUGCUAAACCCCAUAGGGGUUAUAGUAUUAAAAGAUUUAACAAUUUAUCUAAAAAUAGACCUCUCCAAUGGUGACCUACCAUAAGGCAUAGUAAAAGCAAGAGAGAAAAAAUUAAUACCGGUCAACUAAACUAUAAUAGUUUCACUAUUAUACUUAUUGAUGACAAUGAAAGUUGAUUGGUUAUUUAUUAGUCUCCCUAUCAGUCAAAUUUACCCGAAACCAAGUGAUCUAGCCAUGAGCAGUUUUUAGAGAACGAACCGGUGGUUGUAGCAAAAACCUCGGAUGACUUGUGGCUAGGGGCGAAACGCCAAUCGAACUUGGAGAUAGCUGGUUUUCUGCGAAAUCUAUUGAAGUAGAGCGUGCCAACGAAAUAUGAAAGUUUAACAAAAGUAAAAAGCCAGAUCACUAAAAAAUCAUUGGUGUUCAACUUUGAAAUUGUGUUUGUAACCUAAAAAUGGGAAGCAGUCAGACCAUGGGCGAAAAGGUUGAUGGUCAAAAGGGAAGAAAGCCCUCACCAGAAGUUAAAGACAUAAAAUAAUGAAACCACCAUUGGUUGGAAUGAAUGCUGGAUGUUGUCCAUUGGCGAUUAUAACAAUUCCAUUGUUUAGUCAAUCGCAGAGAGAUAGCUAGCAAUUCGCAAACUUAGUGUAAAAGAGGUGCCAGGUUUAGACAAUGAGGAAGUAGGCUUGGGGCCAGCCGUCUUUGAGAGAUUACGUAGCAGUUCACUCAAAGAACCUUCGCACUUCGAUAAUUAGGGUGGCUAAGAUGUCAUCUGAAACUCUGGGGGCCCUAAAAAACAAAAACAAUAAAGAAAUAGGGCCCGGUAGCAGAACGUUCUGACCUAUUAAAAAUAGAAGACGGCGAAUGCAAUGAAUAAACUCAGAAGUGAUAAUGUGGACAUGAGUAAAAAUAUUAUAACUAUCACAUCCCCCCGCGGUUUCCCCCUGUUAACUUAUUUCUAGACUAUAACAACGACAUCUCAAUUGAGAUUGCCGUUGUAAUUAAUUAGAAUUUUUUCAUGGUGGGGUUAAGCAGUCCCUAAAUUUGCAUACGACCCUAGCGGGGAUUAUAUUGAUGGGGAGCGGUCAGUAGUAAUAGUUGGCCCACUGGUGUUAGGGCCCAGGAAAUGGUUACUAGAAUAAAUCCCGGAGGGAUUAUAAUAAACUAUAAUAGUUUCACUAUUAUACUUAUUGAUGAGAAUGACCGCACACUGUACUUACUAACUUACAGUGGGGGCGAGUGAAGGGAGUAAGUUUGCUUAAGGAACUCGGCCAAAUUUUGCCUAACUAUGAGGGGAAUAACUCCCCCCCCCGGGGAGUAUACCACUCAUUAGAGGGGGAAGUAGGGCCUCGACUGUUUACCAAAAACAUAGCCCUCGGCCAAUAUGAAAGUACAGGUAUAGAGGGUGAAGCCUGCCCAAUGGUUGUAUCAUAAAGGGGCUUAUUUCUGUAAGCUCUGUAAGGACAAUUAAAUGGCCGCGGUAACUCUGACCGUGAUAAUGUAGCGUAAUCAAUAGCCAAUUAAUUGUUGGCCAGUAUGAAUGGCGUCACGAAGGCCCCGCUGUCUUAAGCAAACACCCAGUGAAAUUGAACUCGUAGUGAAGAUGCUACGCCAGAAUUGUUAGACGAAAAGACCCCGUUGAGCUUUACUGGCAUACUUUUUUUGCCUGAUCUUUAGUAUUGGAUGGGAGGUUUAGAAUAUGUGGCCUCUCACCCCUUUCAAUACCUACUUAAGGUAGGUAUUAUAAUAUUUCUAAUAUUUAAGGGGGAACUAAAAAUUAUAUGAAAACCCACUCCCCCAUUCCAAUAGGGCUUUCACCCUUAAGUGCUCAAAUAGGGCGCUGGGGGGACAAUAAAAGUAGGACAGUUUGGUUGGGGCGACCGCCUUUUAAAAAGUAACGAAGGUGACCAGAAGGUAGAGACUUUUAUGACAGAACUGCCUGACUGUGAGGGCCACAACCCGAGCAGACACUCUUUCUAAAUUAAUCUCAAAGAGUUUUAUUACAAUUACGGGUAGAAUUCAAAGAGAAUUAAUAUAAUAAAAACAAUUGAGUGGGGCAUAGUGACCCGUUGGUUUAGCGUGAUAAAUUAGCCAACGAUCAACGAAUAAAAGUUACCACGGGGAUAACAGCGUAAUAUUGUUAGAGAGACUUCAUCGACGACAAUGUUUGCGACCUCGAUGUUGAAUUGCGACUUCCUGGGGUGCAGCCGCUCCCAAGGGUUGGUCUGUUCGACCACUAAAGUCGUACAUGAUUUGAGUUAAAAGCGUGGUAACACAGCUUGGUUUCUAUCUGCAAUUCUUAACACUAGACACAAAAAAUUAGUGAAAAYAAUGGUAAUCCUGACUUCUAGUACGAAAGGACCGAAGAUAAUUAGAGAUCCACUGAUCAUAAUAAAAUAAAUCAAUCUUGAAGAUUAUAAUGU
rnacentral:rRNA from 1 species